rnacentral:misc_RNA from 1 species
GAUGAAGAACGUAGCGAAAUGCGAUAAGUAAUGUGAAUUGCAGAAUUCAGUGAAUCAUCGAAUCUUUGAACGCACAUUGCGCCCGCCAGUAUUCUGGCGGGCAUGCCUGUUCGAGCGUCAUUUCAACCAUCAAGCCCCAGGCUUGUGUUGGGGGCCUGCAGCUGCUGCAGCCCCCUAAAAGCAGUGGCGGACUCGCUGUCAUACCGAGCGCAGUAGUUACAUCUCGCUCUGGGCAUGGCGGCGGGCACCUGCCGUAAAACACUCUUUCUAAGGUUGACCUCGGAUCAGGUAGGAAUACCCGCUGAACUUAAGCAUAUCAAUAACCGGAGGA